GCUGCCGGUUUCCAGGGAAUAGGGAAAAUUCCUCUCUCUUCUCAACCGGAGCCAAAAGCAAACCCUCCUGGAGAUUCCCAGCAGAGCGCUGCGACCCACUUGCUGCAAGGACCGUGCGAGAGUGGUGUGAGAGGUGGUGACAGUGCAUCAGGCAACAGUAGGAGCUGCUGUGUCAACUCUGACCUUAUCAAGACCGCUAUGCGUGUACAAAGCAGUCAAGUUGGACAAAGAGGGAGGGAAGAAACACUCAUUCAGCAAAGAGCAGAAGCAUGACUCAAGGGGACAGUGGUCUGUCAUGGCAGAAACAUCUUUGCUUUCCUUCAUAAAGUAAUGGAAGGCAAGCACAUGGUAUGGAUGAUCCUGGAGCUAAAGCGAGAACAUCACUGAAGGAAGCAAAGAUUGCAAGAACAAGCUGGAGUAAACGUGGGCCAUGGACACCACACUGGAAAGCAUCUGUCUGAGUAACAGGGUGAAGAGGUAAAAUUGGAAAGAUGUAUUUUGCUGCAGGCCUUGUGCUUGCAUGCUUCCACAGACAGGUACAACUUCAAAUGUGGGAUUGCAGGAGUGUUGUAAGUUCAUCUAGAAGGAAGAAAUUCAAAAUCCCUCCAGCUCCUGAAAAAAUGUAUGCCAAUUAAUUCUGAAUUGGGAUUUUCCUUUACAUUUGAUCUACUUAAGAAUGCACCACAAGGAAAGCUUCCUAUGAGGAAAGCUUAGAAAUGCUCUCAGGGAAAAGGCACCAUCGUAACUCUCCCACUUCCUAAAGGGAUCAGAGUAGAACUCUACUUAAUGCACAUCCUCUAAAGGAAAUACAAGGCCCUACCUAAUACAGCCUCCUUAAGUUCUGCUGCAAAAAAAUAACCAGAUGAUCCCUCCCCAUCUCUGCUCUUGUUGUUUCUAGCUUCCCUACUGCGCUUUCUGACUGACUUGCACCUACAAAAAAAUCAGUUCCCUCCCUUGUUUACUACAGCACAAGGCUCUGGCAUUAAAGCCACUUACAUGGAACGAAAUGGGGGAGAUUGGAUGAGACCUGUGAAAUGAACAAUACAAAAUCGACCUAAGAUGACUUGUGUGGUAUAAGCUGGAUAGGUGGCAGGCAGCAGACGGUGCUGCUCGGAAAUCUUUGUGAAACCUGAUUAUGUUGUAGGAGUAUUUCAAGUUCACAAAAGACUAACUCUUCCUUUCCUUGGGAAUAGGAAGGAGAGGGCAGAGUGUCCCAGGGGUAGAGCUCUUCAGCAAUGUCCCGCUAAAGGCGUGGGGCAGAUGCUGAGCAUGAGAGAAGGGAGGAGUGAGAGGGUUUAGCAACUAUGUUGGCUGUGCCAAAGAAACAAGUGGUGGGUGUUCAAGCACUGGAUGUGCCAGAGGUGCAAAAGUCUUGUCUCCUGGUUAGUGAGGCAGUAGUAAGGGAAAUGAAUUCACAGUGGAAGGAGAGCAGCGUGACAGUAGGCUUGGAUAGAAGAGGCUUUCCCUUCAGGCUGUGUCCUUCAGGGUGCUGUUUUACCUUGGAACGGUAUGUACCCCAAUACUCUUACCUCAGCGUCACUUUAAUCCUCGGUUCCUAUGCCAUCUCGCUCUCUUUGUUUAAAUAAGCAGUUUGGGCUGGACGCUUCUGGAAAAAUGACUGCAUCCAAAACUUUCAUCAGAAAGUGCUGACUUCAUGAUUUGUAUCUGAUUACUGCCAAAAAAAUGAGACAGUCAUGUUUUCCUUAUAUGUGAUGGUUGGAGGGGCUGUAUUUGUUUCUGUGUUUUUGUUUUUCAUUUAUUUCAUUAUUUGCCAGCAAUACACAAUCAUGUCCUUUGUUUUAGUUCAGCUUUAUUCCCUUGUUCUCAUGUGAUAUUGUUUUAGGCACAAAGCGUCCCAGUUUUUUUAAUACUUCAUCACUUAUUAAUGCCGCAGAUCACGGGAUGAAGGGUUGUCAGCAUCCUCAUUUUUUCUGUAUUGACAGAUAUAAUGGCUGAUUUGUUAUUAAAUAGCUUUUAAAGGAUCUCUUCCUCUCUGGUUAUAUUUCUUUUCCUAAUUAUUUAGUGUA